UGUGGACACAGCCCUGCUACAAAUCCAGCUGCUCACAGCUGCUUCGCAGGCAGCACCCGGGAAGUGCCCCAGAGUGAACUGCGCUGGAUCUCAGUUAUUUCUUCAAAGGCGGCGGCACCACACGAGGUUUUGUUCCAGGACUCUUCUGUUCCCAAGAGGAUGUCCAGGACCUGCAUGCACAGCAGACUCUCCAGACACCACACUCCUCUCAAAAUACUUAAGCUGAUGGCUGACUGCUCCACAAAUUUCAUUUCUCUGACUGGAUUAUGAUAAAAAAUAGCUCAGUUUUGGAAAUUCGCUCAAGCAGUGGAAAUAUUUUAGACCAGGAUCCAAAUCUUUCAAAUGUCUAGUGCUGGACUGGAAUUCUCCAGGG
rnacentral:lncRNA from 12 species